rnacentral:pre_miRNA from 1 species
GCCGAUAUGUUGCCUUUAUCUGCAUUUGCACCUGCACUUUAAGUACUCGGUUUCUCUGUUGUGACAUAUAAAUAAUAUAACUAUGUCAGUUGAGGACUGAAGAGAUCAAUAUAUUAUUAUAUAAUAUGGGAAUAGAGGGACCGAGAACGAGGUGCAGGUGCAUCUGCAGGUGAAUGCCAUAUUGGA